rnacentral:rRNA from 1 species
AGUGGCGAACGGGUGAGUAACAUAUCGGAACAUAUCCGGAAGUGGGGGAUAACGUAGCGAAAGUUACGCUAAUACCGCAUAUGCCCUGAGGGGGAAAGGGGGGGAUCGCAAGACCUCUCGCUUUCGGAGUGGCCGAUAUCGGAUUAGCUAGUAGGUGAGGUAAAGGCUCACCUAGGCGACGAUCCGUAGCUGGUCUGAGAGGACGACCAGCCACACUGGAACUGAGACACGGUCCAGACUCCUACGGGAGGCAGCAGUGGGGAAUUUUGGACAAUGGGCGCAAGCCUGAUCCAGCCAUACCGCGUGAGUGAAGAAGGCCUUCGGGUUGUAAAGCUCUUUCAGCCGGAAAGAAAAUGCUUCUAUUAAUACUAGGAGUAGAUGACGGUACCGGAAGAAGAAGCACCGGCUAACUACGUGCCAGCAGCCGCGGUAAUACGUAGGGUGCGAGCGUUAAUCGGAAUUACUGGGCGUAAAGCGUGCGCAGGCGGUUUUAUAAGCCAGAUGUGAAAUCCCCGGGCUUAACCUGGGAACUGCAUUUGGAACUGUAAGACUAGAGUGUAGCAGAGGGGGGUAGAAUUCCACGUGUAGCAGUGAAAUGCGUAGAUAUGUGGAGGAAUACCGAUGGCGAAAGCAGCCCCCUGGGCUAACACUGACGCUCAUGCACGAAAGCGUGGGGAGCAAACAGGAUUAGAUACCCUGGUAGUCCACGCUCCUAAACGAUGUCAACUAUGUGUUGGGGAAGGAGACUUCUUUAGUACUGCAGCUAACGCG